CUUUCAGAAGCCACGCCUUUAAGAUAAGCAAGUGAGUGAGAGGGUCAAAUAUACACAAUGUGGAGUGUUGGGAGAUUGAGAUCAACUGGAAAACGGUGCCCAGUUUAAAUUAAAAAAAAAAAAAGAUACUGGCCAAGACAAAGACACAGUGAUUAAUUAAAUCUUCUGGUAGCCAGCUUGCAACCCGUCUUUGAGACUUUCGGUUGGGCAAGUUCUUUACUGACUAGGGCUUUUCUCAUCUGGGGUAAAGGCUUGCUUACUACGUACUGUUAUCUAUUACUAUUAGAUUUACUUUUCUUUUCUACCUUCCUCAGAGGCUGCAUGACAUACCAAUUCUUAUGGAAGGACUCAGUGCUCACCAUCCUCGAAAACCUGAUUCAAAACCUAUCUUGCCAUUCUUGCGUGCUCCUAAAAGAAGAGAAAAAGGCCUCCAGUUAGAGGCCAUCAACAAAAAUGCUGAAUGGGUCAUCGUAUUUCCUAAAAGUCAAGAACAAAGAAGACCCAGACAAGGCUUCUGAGAACUAUGGAGACGUAUCCAGAUGCCACACUGAAAAUACAAUUCCACCACCCAUCCAUUAUUUGCUCAGGCAUAUAACAAGACAUCUCUUUUCACUGGUUUCUCUUCUGCCACCUGUUAAAUUAGAAAAACAACUAGUCUUAUAAAUGAAUAAAGGUGCUUAUUAUAGAUACAUACCACUUCCCAAGCAAAGAAAAUCAGGCCUUAGAAGAAAGUAUAAGGGAAGGUAGAUGUAUUAACUAUGUAGAUCAUGCUUAUUUGCCUCUUGAGAGAUGGCUUCUCUCCUCAAAUUCAAUGGAGCUGUAAUUUGAAAAAUCAGGCCUGUAGGCACUUUUAGGAUAUAAUGACAUUUGCACACAUGAUCACAUGCUUCAGGGAAAAAAAUGAAAUCAGGAGGACACACUGGUAAGCUGUGGGCUUAUUGUGGGCACCACAGCAUACAAAGUCACUAUAUGAAUUCCCAGAUUAGGACACAGUUUGAUGGUUUUCUUGGUUCUCUUAAGAGCUUGGUGGAAAUUAAGUCUGUUUUACAUAAGGUAACCUCAAGUCCCCUGGCUGCUAAAAUGAUAUAAUGGUUUGCUCUGAAAUUAGCUACUAAAGUAACACAAUUCUUGCUAUCUGAGUAUAAAAGCAGAAGGCAGAAAUUCAUUCUUACAGAGUAAGAACUCAUUUUUUGCCAUAGAGUAAAACAUUCCAACCCUCCAAAGUCAGUCUAGGGAUUUGGGUUUCAUUUUUUCCUUUAAAAAGACAUUUUUCCCCUGGAUAUUCGGAAGAAUGUAAACAAAAGCCACAGAAAACACAAGUUAGGGCACUGAAGUAUAGCGUAGCACUCUCUUAUGGGAAAAAUGCCAGUGUGCUGUGGCAGAAGGCAGAUGAACACUGUCUCUUCUCCCGCUCCCCACUUCAAACCAGAGUCUCAUGUAGUUUCCCUACCCAGAAAGGAAGAGAAAACAAAUAAUAGCCAUUGUGACAACAAAGACGUGAGAUUUCAUAAAAUAGAUUACUUUUGGUGGAACAAAUACCUGACACCUUUCAACCUCAAAUAGUACAGUCUGAGACGCCACAGUCCAGGUUUCAAUCUUAACGCUAUGAAAUUCUGGAGUUAGUUUUAUUUCAUUCCAAAACUUGGAGUCUUAAGAUGCUUUAAGAACACUAAUUGUGGUGGACAUUUUAUUGGGUAAUUAUAUUUAUCAUGAUCUCCUCCACCUUGUCUCUGCUCCUCUGUCCCAUUUUGUAGCACUCCAAUCUUGUGACUUCCAAUUAGGUGACAAGAAGUGUCUAAAUUCUUAUCUGUGGUAUUUCAUCAUAAAUUUUGUAUAAGACUAUUAUAUGAACUGACAACAGCUAUGGGCCUGGAGACAAAAGGAUUAAGACACACUAAAA
rnacentral:lncRNA from 10 species